UUGAAUAUAUAUCUUUUUUAUUUUGUGAAGAAUAAUUUAUUGCAAUGAAAUUGCUAGAGUGUAAACUGCAAUGUCAUGUCUUUAUACAGAAACCAUUACGUGUCACAGUUUUCCGGGAAGGACAGAAAGUUCAGAUGAGCUUGACUCCACAGCGAUGGUCUGGCAGAGGUUUGCUGGGAUGCAACAUUGUCCCAAUCAAUCGGUGAUCACAAUGUGCAGAAUCUCAGCUGUGAAACACUUUUAUGCCACUUGUUACCCUGGAUGCUUUCAGACUAAAUUUGUACAUACUGCAGAAAUUUCCAUGUUUAAUUUUUCCAUAUCUUAAUCAGAACUUGAAACUUUUUCCUUUGUACAAGGACAGCCUUCAGAAAUAUUAGACUAAAAUGUUGCUUCUGUUUGAGUCAAUUUACUGAAUGAUAGCUGAAUAAACAUUGCUUACCUUACA